rnacentral:lncRNA from 1 species
UGCGAUCUACAUGGAACAUGAGAUUGGGAUCCAUAGCAGAUAUAGGGGCAAAAGGGGCACCCUAAUGGAUCCCAAUCAUCCUACAGAGCCUAUAAGAUAGCAGGGAUUUGGGAUCCCUGGGAUCUGGUGGGGAUCUGCUUUGGGAUCCACAUGGAACAUGAGAUUGGGAUCCAUAGCAGACAUAGGGGCAGCCUGAGGGAUCCCAGUCAUCCUACAGAGCCUAGAAGAUAGCAAGGAUUUGGGAUCGUGGGGAUCUGGUGGGGAUCCGCUCUGGGAUGGGAUCUGCUGUGGGAUCAGUUGGGAUCUGGGGCAGAUUUAGGGUCAGUAGGGGAACGUUGAGAGGUCCUGGGUACCAUACAGCAUCCUGUGGGAUAACAGGGCCUUGGGAUCCCUGGGAUCUGGUGGGGAUCCGCUCUGGGAUCCACUCUGGGAUGCACAUGGAAGGUCAGGUUGGGAUCCAUAGCAGAUAUAGGGGCAAUAAGGGGACCUUGAGGGAUCCCGGUCACCCUACAGCACCCCAUAGGAUAGCAGGAGUACGGGAUCCCUGGGAUCUGGUGGGGAUCCACUUUGGGAUCCGCUCUGAAAGGUCAAUAGUGCAUCCUAGUGCCCAAUGGUGCAUCCUGGUGCAUCGUGGUGCCCAAUGGUGCCCAGUGGUGCAUCCUGGUGCAUUGUGGUGCCCAGUGGUGCAUCGUGGUGCAUCCUGGUGCAUCCUAGUGCCCAACGGUGCAUCGUGGUGCAUCGUGGUGCCCAAUGGUGCAUCGUGGUGCCCAGUGGUGCCCAAUGGUGCAUCGUGGUGCCCAGCGGUGCAUCGUGGUGCCCAAUGGCUCAUCCUGGUGCCCAAUGGUGCAUCGUGGUGCCCAAUGGUGCAUCCUGCUGCCCAAUGGUGCCCAAUGGUGCCCAAUGGUGCCCAGUGGUGCCCAGCGCCGCCCCCCCCCGACUCACUUGGCGGCCAGUUUGACCCCGCAGGCCUCGCUGCAGUACUUGGAAGGCGGGCGCGCGGGCCGGGUGCAGCCGGGCCCCAGGCAUUGGCCCAAACCCGCGGGGUCGCGGGCGUCGCAGCGCUCCUGGUGCCGGUUCCGCUCGCGGUGCCGUGGCUUCUGCCGGUGCCGUUUGUAACGCUCCUCCUUCUGGGCCGCCGCAGCGGAACCGGGGGGGGGACCAGUAUGACACAGUGCCGCCCAGUGCCUCCCAGUAUGGCCCAGUGCCUCCCAGUAUGACACAGUGCCUCCCAGUGCCUCCCAGUAUGGCCUGGUGCCUCCCAGUGCCUCCCAGUAGGACCCACUGCCUCCCAGUAGGACCCCGUGUCUCCCAGUAGGACCCAGUGCCUCCCAGUAUGACACAGUGCCUCCCAGUAUGACCCAGUGCCUCCCAGUGCUUCCCAGUAUGACCCAGUGCCUCCCAGUUCCUCCCAGUAUGACCCCGUGCCUCCCAGUAUGACCCAGGGCCUCCCAGUAUGGCC